rnacentral:rRNA from 1 species
UACGUAGGGGGCAAGCGUUGUCCGGAUUUAUUGGGCGUAAAGAGCGUGUAGGCGGUCAGGUAGGUCGGUUGUGAAAACUGGAGGCUCAACCUCCAGCUGUCGUUGGAAACCAUCUGGCUAGAGUCCGGAAGAGGAUCGCGGAAUUCCUGGUGUAGCGGUGAAAUGCGCAGAUAUCAGGAGGAACACCGGUGGCGAAGGCGGGUCUCUGGGCAACUACUGACGCUGAGGAGCGAAAGCGUGGGGAGCGAACAGG